rnacentral:rRNA from 1 species
GCUCCAAUAGCGUAUAUUAAAGUUGUUGCAGUUAAAAAGCUCGUAGUUGGAUUUCUGGCAGGAGUGACCGGCCAUGCACUCUGUGCGUGAGCUGUGUCAUUCUGGCCAUCCUUGGUGAGAUCCUGUUUGGCAUUAAGUUGUCGGGCAGGGGAUAACCAUCGUUUACUGUGAAAAAAUUAGAGUGUUUAAAGCAGGCUUAU